rnacentral:rRNA from 1 species
UACGAAGGGGGCUAGCGUUGUUCGGAAUCACUGGGCGUAAAGCGCUCGUAGGCGGCUCUUUAAGUCAGGGGUGAAAUCCCGCGGCUCAACCUCGGAACUGCCUUUGAUACUGGGGAUCUCGAGUCCGGGAGAGGUGAGUGGAACUGCGAGUGUAGAGGUGAAAUUCGUAGAUAUUCGCAAGAACACCAGUGGCGAAGGCGGCUCACUGGCCCGGAACUGACGCUGAGGAGCGAAAGCGUGGGGAGCAAACAGG